rnacentral:rRNA from 1 species
CCUACGGGAGGCAGCAGUGGGGGAUAUUGCACAAUGGGGGGAACCCUGAUGCAGCGACGCCGCGUGGGUGAAGGAGCGUUUCGGCGCGUAAAGCCCUAUCGGCAGGGAAGAAGGAGGACGGUACCUGACUAAGACGCCCCGGCUAACUACGUGCCCGCAGCCGCGGUAAUACGUAGGGGGCCAGCGUUAUCCGGAUUUACUGGGUGUAAAGGGGGCGCAGACGGCAGCGCAAGCCAGGAGUGAAAGCCCGGGCCCAACCCCGGGACUGCUCUUGGAACUGCGCGGCUGGAGUGCAGGAGGGGCAGGCGGAAUUCCUGGUGUAGCGGUGAAAUGCGUAGAUAUCAGGAGGAACACCGGUGGCGAAGGCGGCUUGCUGGACUGCGACUGACGUUGAGGCCCGAAAGCGUGGGGAGCAAACAGGAUUAGAUACCCCGGUAGUC